GUAACGUUUCACAUUUAAUCGGUAUAAUUAUAUUAUCCUCCGGAUCGUUCGCCGACGCCUCCUCCGUCUUCGUCUCCUCGGUAUUCGGACCCAAAGUCAACCGCAUUUGUCGCGACGACGCGAUUCGGUUAAAAAUAAUACCAAAGUGACUUCUUUCACGUGCACGUAUGUAUAAUGACUUGAAAAUCUACCAACCACUCCCCAGAUCAGCUGCCCGACGAAUACCACCGCUGACUACCUCUAACUUCGAAGAUUCCGUGUAUUUGCGAGUUCACUCGCCUGGUACAAGUUGGUUGUUCAUAGCGAAGUUUGGAUGGACACUUCGGUCCCAAGGACCGGAAACGGAAGCUCAAGGUUGAGUUCGCUCAAUCGCUACGAAUAGAUUGUGCAAUUAAAGCCGAGAGAAAAAGUGACGGGAAUCCAAAGAGAAAUAAGGAUGAAUUCUUAACAUCGUACGUGGGGGUUGGCAAUCGAUUAUUAAAUCGUGGCGCAACGGAAGUUCGCGGCGUGUUUUUCUAGAAAUUAAGAGGAGAAAAAAAUAAUAGCUACGCUAGAACUGCACUCUGUUUAUCAUUCGAGAGUAGAUAUUCGAGUCAUGAUCAAGAAGUGAAGAAAUGUACGUGAAGAUACAACAUUACAUAUAUACCACUGAUACUUUUAUGAACAUACUGAGAACAAUAAAUCAGUUACAUGGAUCGGAAUAAAAA
rnacentral:misc_RNA from 1 species